UACAGAGGUCUCAAGCGUUGUUCGGAUUCAUUGGGCGUAAAGGGUGCGUAGGCGGCGCGGUAAGUCCUGUGUGAAAUCCCCCGGCUCAACUGGGGAACUGCACAGGAAACUAGCGGGCUUGAGUUCGGGAGAGGGAAGCGGAAUUCCGGGUGUAGCGGUGAAAUGCGUAGAUAUCCGGAGGAACACCGGUGGCGAAGGCGGCUUCCUGGACCGACACUGACGCUGAGGCGCGAAAGCUAGGGGAGCAAACGGG
rnacentral:rRNA from 1 species